rnacentral:lncRNA from 1 species
GCAUGGGAGUUUCCAAGCUUUCGCUGGCCAAGAUCUUCCCGGAGAGGGUGAAAUCGCAAACCAAUUUCUAAUGGUCUAUCAAUGUGUUGCUUUCUCUCUCUCAGCUUCAGGUCUCAAUGUAAUUAUGGCUAUUAAGUUAUUUCCGCUCAAUUUGUGAGUUGUAGCCGGGUGUUUUGUUUAAAUUUGAUCCCUUGGAAGCUGCAGAGCCUGCACGUUGUCUUUGGCUUCUGUUUGUACAUAUUUUUGUGUCCGACACUUUUUUAGAUUGAUGAAUUGUGUUGCAUAUAUGGGUUUCAGUUAUGAUAUAUAAGCCUUCGAUCGGACUUUUGUUUUAGA